AUGAACGCUAGCGGCAGGCCUAAUACAUGCAAGUCGAACGGUAACAUUGGUGCUUGCACCAGAUGACGAGUGGCGCACGGGUGCGUAACGCGUAUGCAAUCUACCUUUUACUAGAGUAUAGCCCAGAGAAAUUUGGAUUAAUCCUCUAUAAUAUCUUUUAAUUUCAUGAUUUUAAGAUUAAAGUUUUAACGGUAAAAGAUGAGCAUGCGUCCUAUUAGUUUGUAGGUGAGGUAACGGCUCACCUAGACUACGAUAGGUAGGGGCCCUGAGAGGGGGAUCCCCCACACUGGUACUGAGACACGGACCAGACUCCUACGGGAGGCAGCAGUGAGGAAUAUUAGACAAUGGGCGAAAGCCUGAUCUAGCCAUGCCGCGUGCAGGAUGACGGCCCUAUGGGUUGUAAACUGCUUUUAUACAGGAAGAAAAAACUCUACGUGUAGAGUCUUGACGGUACUGUAAGAAUAAGGAUCGGCUAACUCCGUGCCAGCAGCCGCGGUAAUACGGAGGAUCCAAGCGUUAUCCGGAAUUAUUGGGUUUAAAGGGUCCGUAGGUGGACAAUUAAGUCAGAGGUGAAAUCCUGCAGCUCAACUGUAGAAUUGCCUUUGAAACUGGUUGUCUUGAGUCAUUAUGAAGUGGUUAGAAUGUGUAGUGUAGCGGUGAAAUGCAUAGAUAUUACACAGAAUACCAAUUGCGAAGGCAGAUCACUAAUAAUGUACUGACACUGAUGGACGAAAGCGUGGGUAGCGAACAGGAUUAGAUACCCUGGUAGUCCACGCCGUAAACGAUGGUCACUAGCUGUUCGGACUUCGGUCUGAGUGGCUAAGCGAAAGUGAUAAGUGACCCACCUGGGGAGUACGUUCGCAAGAAUGAAACUCAAAGGAAUUGACGGGGGCCCGCACAAGCGGUGGAGCAUGUGGUUUAAUUCGAUGAUACGCGAGGAACCUUACCAGGGCUUAAAUGUAGAGUGACAGGUCUAGAGAUAGAUUUUUCUUCGGACACUUUACAAGGUGCUGCAUGGUUGUCGUCAGCUCGUGCCGUGAGGUGUCAGGUUAAGUCCUAUAACGAGCGCAACCCCUGUUGUUAGUUGCCAGCGAGUAAUGUCGGGAACUCUAGCAAGACUGCCAGUGCAAACUGUGAGGAAGGUGGGGAUGACGUCAAAUCAUCACGGCCCUUACGUCCUGGGCUACACACGUGCUACAAUGGUAGGUACAGAGAGCAGCCAAUGCGUGAGCAUGAGCGAAUCUAUAAAACCUAUCUCAGUUCGGAUCGGAGUCUGCAACUCGACUCCGUGAAGCUGGAAUCGCUAGUAAUCGGAUAUCAGCCAUGAUCCGGUGAAUACGUUCCCGGGCCUUGUACACACCGCCCGUCA
rnacentral:rRNA from 1 species